CUUCUCUUAGGCUCACAGCUGCUAAAGGCACCCGACCCUGUUCCAGUCCCAGGCCUCAAUUGCAGAGUCAUGUGUAUUUCAGGUGAGCAAAUAUUGCCACUUGUUUGAGAGUUCAGUGCCUGCCCCUUUCAGAUGUUGCGUAUUGCAGUCACUCAAAGGAAGUAGGUGUGAGGACAUGGGAGCUCCUCUCAACACAGCUGGAGCUGUUCAAUCUGUCCAACCACACACCGCGUCUUAAACAGCAGCCUCUUUGUAGUACAGAGACUGACUCAAGGAGGAUACAUCACACAGACCACCCCAGUGCUGACAGGGGACUGCAACCUGAUCUGCUGUUCAAGGCCAGACUGGAAGCAGACAGCACCUGACUGUGCACAUCUACAGGUUCUUACAGUGCUAAAUGAGAGAGAGAGAGCGAAAAGUCUAGUUUUACUUCAUUUUUAUGAAUUGUUACUUCAUGUGAAGUUUUACUUCAUUUUGGGAGUCUACACCAGUUGUCCCUCCAGAGUUGGACCGAGUUCCUCUAUAUAAAAUCACAUACAUCUCAAAGAAACAGGCCUGAAGCCCAUACUAUGCCAACAUCUGGACUUC
ensembl:lncRNA